rnacentral:rRNA from 1 species
UACGGAGGGCGCAAGCGUUGUUCGGAAUCACUGGGCGUAAAGCGCGUGUAGGCGGCUUGGCAAGUCGGGUGUGAAAUCCCGAGGCUCAACCUCGGAACUGCACUCGAAACUGCCUGGCUUGAGUCCCGGAGAGGGUGGCGGAAUUCCCGGUGUAGGGGUGAAAUGCGUAGAUAUCGGGAGGAACACCAGUGGCGAAGGCGGCCACCUGGGCGGUGACUGACGCUGAGACGCGAAAGCGUGGGGAGCAAACAGG